rnacentral:rRNA from 1 species
UACGUAGGGUGCGAGCGUUGUCCGGAAUUACUGGGCGUAAAGAGCUCGUAGGUGGUUUGUCGCGUUGUCCGUGAAAACUCACAACUCAAUUGUGGGCGUGCGGGCGAUACGGGCAGACUGGAGUACUGCAGGGGAGACUGGAAUUCCUGGUGUAGCGGUGGAAUGCGCCAGAUAUCAGGAGGAACACCGGUGGCGAAGGCGGGUCUCUGGGCAGUAACUGACGCUGAGGAGCGAAAGCGUGGGUAGCAAACAGG